GUUUCCAACUUCACCGGAGCGGCGCUCGCAGGCGCUGGCGUAGGAGUACGUCCUCUGACGUAAGCGGCUACGCUCGGACCUGCACGUCAACGCAGUCAGGCGCCAGGCCUGCCGGGCUUCGGCAGAGGGUCUGGCCGGGGCUGGAGACCCGCAGGAGACCGGCGAGGUCUGCCGGUGGGAGCUCGCUGAUUGACGCGGGCAGCUCCGCUUUCUCAGGGGAACCUGAGACCGUGGAUGAAGGCAGGGUCCGCGCUGACCCACGGUUUGCGCUGCAGAGCGUGGCGGGUGGGAAACCUCAAAACCUAGGCGCCGCCGACUUCAGCAACCAUCACCCCAGGUCUGCCCGUGGCUGAGGAAUAAGAAGACCUGGGUUCUGCUGUCUUUUUGAUGUUUUGAUGUUUUAUAAAUACCCAAGGAACUUCAGUCACAUUCCAGGUUGACAGGCAGAGGACGGCGAGGUCCGGAACCCCGCACACGGGCAUGCGUCACAGCUGUCACUGGGUAUCUUACCCUUUAACAGUAAAUGCAGCUUCUGGAUGGCAGCAGUGCGCACCGUGACUUUUCCCAUUAGAAAAGCCCCUCCCACGUAGCAAGAACGAAAGGCAAGGGACGUCCAACCUGUCCGGAUGACCUAGGCUGCAGGGAAUACUCAGAGGAUCCUGUUUACAAGUCAUUUCCUCUAGAGUCUACAUGUCUCUGGGGCUUCUUGGGCUAGUUUCCCAGUCAGUUCAAGGGGUGCCAGUGCCGGGUGCAUCCCCUUGAAGCACAGCUCUGAUGAUAUCUCUUGCUCCAGACCCGGGCAUGCAGGUUACACUCCUUUGGGGCAUCCUGGCUCCUUUCUUUUGCUGCCCGAUGCCAGUCAAACCAGGUGGAAGCAUGGAAGCUGCUAGUCGGUUGAGUCACUGGACCAAGGCAGAGGAUGAGAGAUGUUGCUCCUCCCCAUGUCCUGGGUUUUCUGUCCACCACUUUGCCACCUCCUCCAUGAAGCCUUCCCAGGACUCCCUUAUGUCCCCUGAGUGCUGCUACUGUAUUCUGUGUGGAUACCACAGCACAGGGCAUAUGCCUGGCUCACAACAAUUAUACAUGAGCUACUUGGAUGUAAAGAAUAUUCUCAUUUUGAUGGCAUGUGGACUACUGCAAGUGCUCAGAGCACCCCAGGCACUGUAUGCAGUAAGGCUUUUCUGAAUCCAGCUGUCGCAGAGAGGGGCUGGGACAUGACCCUAAUUAGCAGCUUAACAGAUUCCCCUGCCUCAAAGCAGAACUCUUUCUCCAGAGAAAACUUCUAGAAAUGUGAUAUAGAAAUGAGUAAGAGGGAAGAAAUCUCUCUGAAGUGGGGAUGGAGCGUGGAGGGCCCCUCCUCUGCUCACCCUCCCCUCCUUUCAGCUCCUUGGCUCUUCUUUCAGUUUGCAAAAACAGUUUAACAUACAUGUUUUGUAGGGUUUUCUUUUCUUUUUUGGUACUGGAGAUUGAACCUAGAGGCACUCUACCACUGAGCUACAUCCCUAGCCCUUUUUAUUUUUUUAUUUUGAGAUAGAGUCUUACUAAGUUGCCCAGCCUGGCCUCAAACUUGCAAUCUUCCCACCUCAGCCUCCUGAGUAGCUGGAUUUGCCGGUGUUCACCAUGCGUACCUUCUUAAUAACAAAUUCUAAUUAGGUGAGAUGGUUUGGAAUAUAAUCAUGAGAGAUGAUGAUGAUUGUGACAACUACCAUUUAUUAAGGACUAUGUGCCAGGUAUUGUUCUAGGUACUUUCCACGACUUAACUCGCAGCCCCUGUGAGGUGGAUACUGGUAACAUUGCCAGUCUGCAGAUCAGGGAAGGGAAGCACAGAGCCCAAAGGCAUUUGUCCGAGACCACACAUCUGGUUAUGUGGCAGAAACCAGGUUCCGUGGAUGUGUGGGGACCGGGCACAAAACAAUGGGGCAUCUGUUCCAGGUAGGUUAGGAAAAACAGAGGAUGCUCACUUGACCUAAAAGAAGGGAGGCGACUCAGCAGCUGUCGUGUUGAGAAGAAGGAGGGUUGUGUGGACUGCAGGGACUGCAGGGUCAAUGUUCACUGCAGUGUAGCUGCUAAAAGAAGGUGCCACCACCUGAAGCUGCUCAUGGAAUGCCGGGGCCCCACCCUGGCUGGACAAUGUACAAAGAAAGGGGCAGAGUUCAGAAGCCAGUCAGAGACGGGGCUGACAGACCUGGAGGACCUUGGCAGAGUUCAGAAGCCAGUCAGAGACGGGGCUGACAGACCUGGAGGACCUUGGCCCCUGCUGUCCAUGCCCUUCUGGGGAAGUAGCCAAGCCCUGCCUCUGGUCCCCGCCCCCAGGGGCCCCACCUUGCCAGCAGGAUCUGGAGCAGGUUUUCCUGAGCUCUCCAUCUCCUUGGCCCUGGAUAAUCUGUGACACAAGACCCUUCGCAGCUCCUCGGGGUGACUGAACUCAGUCCUUGCCCCCAAAUCUCCUCAUCUCCACUUAGCCAUGGCACCCCCUCCAUGGGUUCUUCAGGUCAGAGUCUUAGGAACCCCUGAGGCCUCACCCACAUCUGUGUCUAACGCAUCUCUAUGUGUUUCCCAUUCUCUGCCCCCCGCUGGGGGUGACAGCUUUAAGCUUGUCUUACACUGGUGUGUGUGUGUGUGUGUGUGUGCGCGCGCACGUGCAACGAACAAAGGGAAGGUUAUUUGGUGAUUACUGUCAAAAGAGACUUCAGGCCUAUGACAGUUAAGAUUGCUCCUAAGAACCUGCAGGAUCUAAUAUGGGGGAUGAAAGUGCAGUUCAAACCACUGGACUAGCCGUGGCUGUGGCUCCCUGCACCCCUAGCCAAGCAGAUCUUUCUCAGUGAAGAGAAGUAAUGUUCUGUUAGACUGCCAAUGUUUCCAGAAAGCUGUGAGUCAAACCAGUUAAUUAUUUUCAUUGUAACAUGUUAGGAAAUAUAUGCUAUAAUUUGGAACUUUUAUUUCCCUUUUUGAACCCAUAUAGGUAUUUAAUCUUCAGAUACACAGGUAGGAUAUGAGAUCCGAUUUCAUUGGGAAAGAAUGAAUCAUUUGCUAAAUCUAAAGACAUUAAAAAAAAAGGAGAAAACACAAAAUUUAAUUUUGUCCUAUGUGUUAAAAUAUUUCAGGAGCCUGGGCUUGGGCUGAAGCUCAGUGGUAUAGCAUGAGGCCAGUACACGUGAGACCCUGUGUGUUUCAGAUUCUCUCAGCCACCAAGUCCUCC
rnacentral:lncRNA from 1 species